GCUGCAGCCCGCCUCUCUCAGUACCCUGCGCCGCUCUUCUCAGUACCCAUCCCGCAGACAGGAAAUGACGCAACACCGCAGCUCUCAGUCCCCUCAGACCGGAAAUGUCGUCAACCCUUGCGACGAAAACAAGUUACGUUAUUUCACCUCUCGCGAAAAAAACACGCUGCAAGAUCACCACCCCAUUGGGAAGAAACUAAAUCACGACCCCCAAAUGGUAGUCUUCCCAUGCAGAUACAGGGAUGUCACACAGAUCCAAAUGGAAACAUCGAACAAACCCAUAAAUAAAUAAAUAAAACCCACUGUGCAGACAGGACCAAUGGUGACAAUAUAAGACCAUGCCGAGCUUCAUGGACGGUUCAAACUCAUCCUGCCCAGGAACGGCUGAAAACGUUGACAGUCAAUCAACAGGGGGACAUGGAAAGAGAGGAUUGGAAGUGAAAUAGAGGGUUUUUCGGGACAGCCAUAGGGGAAGGACUGUGGCAUCUUCAUGUUGAUGACUGAUAUGCCAACUCUGAGGAAGUGGUGGUGUAUAUUGCUAGCGGACAAUUUCAAACUUGGGUGCAUGGUGAGCCACAGGAAAGAGUUUGCCCAUUGGACAGACAAGGCAAAAGCAUUACUGCAGGGUGAAGUGCCACCAGUCUAUCAGCUACAGAAGUGAAAUUUGAAUAUAAUUGCUGAGGAAGAGGUGCAACCACAGCUCCUUCAAGUUAGUGGUGGCCCACUCCAAAAAGAUACGGCGGGGAAAAAUGUUUUGGUAAAAGGAUUGUGCCAGACAGCACAAAAGCCUCGGACAGGGCUGGGGGGUCAAUGCAGUAGGAGUUCCCAAGCAUCCUGCAGAUGGAAGAGGAUGAGCACGAACUACAAUGUCUUGGAGCCAUUCAAGUUCUGUUUCAACCAUCUGGAAGAUGGAUUUACCUUUUUUGAGGAGAUUGUUGAUCAAAGAAAAUAUCUGGUAUUCUCUCAAUAAUAAUAAAAAAAUAAUAAAACUAAAAAAAUAAAGUUUACCACAUUAGAACUGGUUGUAUUGAGUUCAUUUUUCUACACUUAUAAAUUUGUUGUUUUUUUUCUUUUAUCCCAGAUGUUAGUUGUAGGUAGUUUUAAUUACCUGUGAUAAAGGCGGGAGUGCUUGCCGAAAA